rnacentral:rRNA from 1 species
GACGAACGCUGGCGGCGUGCUUAACACAUGCAAGUCGAACGGAAAGGCCCCUUCGGGGGUACUCGAGUGGCGAACAGGUGAGUAACACGUGAGUAACCUGCCCUUGACUUCGGGAUAACUUCAGGAAACUGGGGCUAAUACCGGAUAGGAAUCCUUGCUGCAUGGUGGGGGUUGGAAAGCUUCGGCGGUUUUGGAUGGACUCGCGGCUUAUCAGCUUGUUGGUGGGGUAGUGGCUUACCAAGGCUUUGACGGGUAGCCGGCCUGAGAGGGCGACCGGCCACAUUGGGACUGAGAUACGGCCCAGACUCCUACGGGAGGCAGCAGUGGGGAAUAUUGCACAAUGGGCGGAAGCCUGAUGCAGCAACGCCGCGUGCGGGAUGACGGCCUUCGGGUUGUAAACCGCUUUCAGCAGGGGCGAAGCUUGUGGUGACGGUACCUGCAGAUGAAGCACCGGCUAACUACGUG